rnacentral:rRNA from 1 species
GACGAACGCUGGCGGCGUGCCUAAUACAUGCAAGUCGAGCGAAGUUUUUCUGGUGCUUGCACUAGAAAAACUUAGCGGCGAACGGGUGAGUAACACGUAAAGAACCUGCCUCAUAGACUGGGACAACUAUUGGAAACGAUAGCUAAUACCGGAUAACAGCAUUAACUGCAUGGUUGAUGUUUAAAAGUUGGUUUUGCUAACACUAUGAGAUGGCUUUGCGGUGCAUUAGCUAGUUGGUGGGGUAAAGGCCUACCAAGGCGACGAUGCAUAGCCGACCUGAGCGGGUGAUCGGCCACACUGGGACUGAGACACGGCCCAGACUCCUACGGGAGGCAGCAGUAGGGAAUCUUCCGCAAUGGGCGAAAGCCUGACGGAGCAACGCCGCGUGAGUGAAGAAGGAUUUCGGUUCGUAAAGCUCUGUUGUUAGGGAAGAAUGAUUGUGUAGUAACUAUACACAGUAGAGACGGUACCUAACCAGAAAGCCACGGCUAACUACGUG